AGGUCGUGGUGUGGACACUUGCAUAAUAAAUCCUUGUAUCUCUCUCAUGCCUCAUAUAAUGAUUCAGCCUCAAUUUGGGUUAAGUUUGUGAUGUCAUUCCUGAACUU